AAUCAACGCCGGCGGCGUGCCUCAGACAUGCAAGUCGAACGAUUAAGACUUCCUUCGAGAAGCGCAUAAAGUGGCGCACGGGUGAGUAACACGUAAGUAAUCUACCCUCGAGUGGGGAAUAACAUCGGGAAACCGAUGCUAAUACCGCAUAAUGCAGCGGCACCGCAAGGUGACAGUUGUUAAAGGAGCAAUUCGCUUGAGGAGGAGCUUGCGGCAGAUUAGCUUGUUGGUAAGGUAACGGCUUACCAAGGCUACGAUCUGUAUCCGGUCUAAGAGGACGGUCGGACACACUGACACUGAAUAACGGGUCAGACUCCUACGGGAGGCAGCAGUCGGGAAUUUUGGGCAAUGGGCGAAAGCCUGACCCAGCAACGCCGCGUGAAGGAUGAAGUAUUUCGGUAUGUAAACUUCGAAAGAAUGGGAAGAAUAAAUGACGGUACCAUUUAUAAGCUCCGGCUAACUACGUGCCAGCCGCCGCAGUAAUAC
rnacentral:rRNA from 1 species